rnacentral:rRNA from 1 species
UGAUUAAGCCAUGCAAGUACUGCAAAGGAAUUGGCGGGGGAGCAUUAAGCCAUGCGAGUCAUAUGUUCUUCGUGAACAUGGCGUACUGCUCAGUAACACGUGGAUAACCUGCCCUUGGGACCGGGAUAACCCCGGGAAACUGGGGAUAAUACCGGAUAACGCAUAUCUGCUGGAAUGCUUUAUGCGUAAAAUGGAUUUGUCUGCCCAAGGAUGGGUCUGCGGCCUAUCAGGUAGUAGUGGGUGUAAUGUACCUACUAGCCUACGACGGGUACGGGUUGUGAGAGCAAGAGCCCGGAGAUGGAUUCUGAGACAUGAAUCCAGACCCUACGGGGCGCAGCAGGCGCGAAAACUUUACAAUGCGGGAAACCGUGAUAAGGGGACACCGAGUGCCAGCAUCAUAUGUUGGCUGUCCAGAUGUGUAAAAUACAUCUGUUAGCAAGGGCCGGGCAAGACCGGUGCCAGCCGCCGCGGUAACACCGGCGGCCCGAGUGGUGAUCGUGAUUAUUGGGUCUAAAGGGUCCGUAGCCGGUUUGGUCAGUCCUCCGGGAAAUCUGACGGCUCAACCGUUAGGCUUUCGGUGGAUACUGCCAGACUUGGAACCGGGAGAGGUAAGAGGUACUACAGGGGUAGGAGUGAAAUCUUGUAAUCCCUGUGAGACCACCUGUGGCGAAGGCGUCUUACCAGAACGGGUUCGACGGUGAGGGACGAAAGCUGGGGGCACGAACCGGAUUAGAUACCCGGGUAGUCCCAGCCGUAAACGAUGCUCGCUAGGUGUCAGGCAUGGCGCGACCGUGUCUGGUGCCGCAGGGAAGCCGUGAAGCGAGCCACCUGGGAAGUACGGCCGCAAGGCUGAAACUUAAAGGAAUUGGCGGGGGAGCAA